rnacentral:lncRNA from 1 species
CUCUAGCUCUCGAACAACUCCAGAGAAGGACAUUAGCUGCUAACGCCAGAGGACGCAAAGAACAAUAGCACAGUGGGAACCAAGCUAACGGGAGAAUGAAGGACAAACAUAUUUCCUUUGUGAAACUCUACGCUACUUCUUCCCGCCCGUCGUCCGCCAUGUUUGUUUACAAUAGCGUCACGAUUGGUCGCAAGACAUUUUGCGAGAUUUCUGGUUUUGAGAGUCGGGACUGUGUUCAGGAAUCGUUGCUACACUUCAUCACACGGGUCUCUCACAUCUUCACCUGCAGUCCGAUGAUCACAGUGUGCGCAGGGAUUGUGCAGGCGCCUCUUCUCUUCAUGUGUUCACAAAUGAAUCACUUCAUGUUGAGCGGGUCUCUCUCGCUGCGAACACACGAUGAUUCAGAUAUGGUGUUUCUGAAGAUAAACUCUUCUUCAGUCUCCCGGAGAUUAAACUCUUCCUCAGCCAGUAUUUUUCGCAGUGAAGACGUAAGGAGACUCUUUCGCACGGCAGGACUACGUUUCCUCCGCAGCAGCUCGAACACAUCACAACAGACUCACCAGCUCGGCCGUUCUCCACGUCUGUACGAUUCAGUGUGUCGAGACCAGAGAAAUCCGCACGACUUGCUUGUGUGGUGUCGCCAGCAGCCCAGGGGACAGGAAGUCGAGCAGAUCUUCAGGAGCUGCUGUGAUCCAGUGAGCAGCGAGAAGAAGAGGUCAGCUGUUCCAGUGUUCAGAGGGGGCGACGACAACAACAAAUGCUGCUAAAAACAUAGAAAUGGAAUAAACAAUGUUCAUUUAAAUGCUUUUCUAGACACAUGAAGGUUGUUUGUGUUUUACGCCCUGUUUCCAUGGUGAUCAGGCCUUUAAUGGAAGUUAUCAGGUUCAUAUCCGACGUGAUGAAAAGGUUGCAGUUUGUUAGAUUUCACUCUCACUGAGGCGGUAAAACUACGUGAUUAGGUUGAGGAACAAGAUCAUGGUCUGGUUAGAGUAAGUUUGUAACGUAAUGUAAUCUUACGUAACUGUGAACAGAUGAUGAAGAGGUUCUGGACCUGCAGGUGUAGCAGCCUCUUACAUUGAUAACAGACAUCUAAUGCACUGAUAUCAUGUAAAGCGUUUGGUUUUUACAGACGUUAAUGAUCCUCUUCUGAGACACCAGUCGUUGUUUCAAGUCCAAACAUUUAUCUGAAUAGUGUCGUUUCAGUUUCAGUGAAAUGCUUUCAGACCAGCAGAAGCACGAAGGACAGAAAGAAAGAAAGUUGUAUUUCAGAAUAAAAGACUAAAUGUGAAUCUGUAUCAGCCUGUAGUCUGUGGAAGCACCCGUGAAGCAGCAGGACCUCUAACGCAGGGCA